GUUGCCUCUCUGGUUUGGCAGUAACCACCCACCUGCCUUUUUUCUUUUCUUUUCCCCCACUGGUUAUUACUUGUUGCUGUGAGAACUAGAUUUAAACAUUCAUUCUUUUGUGAAACAAAUUCAAAAUAUAGUAAUUCCAAAAGCUUAAACUACAAUUGGGAGUUUGCAUAUGCAUAUACCAAAGGCCAAGAGUUCCUUGAAGGCAAACACUAUAUUUUAUUGAUUUUGUGUCUCCAGAGUCCAGCAGAUUUCCUGCAGUUUACUAGGUAUUUAAUGUAUACUCAUUGAAUUAAUGAAUGAAUUGAUGGUAUUAUGGACUAUUUUGGCCAUCUUCCUAUUUUUUCCAGAGUGAGAGCCCCAACCACCUCCCCUGGAAGAAAACAAAAGACAUGCUGGUAAUAUAUUUCUAUUACCAUCCAUAACUUUCUAGGGUAGUUUCUUCAAAGAAGAUAAAACAGGGGGUAAAAAGCAAAGAUUCACCUCAAAGAAACCAAGAAAUAAUUAGCUAUCAGUACACCUUGGCAAAAAUAAGUCUGGGAGUAUGAAUUAUCCAGAAUUCCUGAGAAUGAGAUUAUCAUAAAAAAUUAUUCAUACUUUGCUUUUUGGCAGAAGAAGGACGAAAAGAGAAAGAAGUAAAAAUUAGAAGAAGAAGGAGAAGAAGAAAAAGAAUGAAUUUGGUACCUUUUCACUGAAUUACUCCACACGGCCUUGAAUGACUGAACUCUGUGCCCACUUUACGGCGAGGAUGCUCUUGAAAUCUUCACAUUUAUGCUUGUAAUCUGUCAGGGGAAAUGAACCUUCUAGGGUGUUUGCUGGGGCCUCUUUUCCUUCUACUUCAGUGAAAACAACACUUUCAAGUGAGGAGCACCUAAGAACGGGUCUCCAGAAAGACCCAUGUGUUGCGUUUGAUGUGCUGAGACCCAGUUUGCCUGUUUGUUCAUGACUUGUUUUGACACGCAUGGAACUGCAAACGUGACCCCAGGUAGAGGGACAGGGGUCAUGCAGGGGAGGGAUCACUGCAUGUGAAUUUCCGUGACUCCUCAAGGUCAAGGAUUCUCUAAAAGACUAUGCUACAUCCAGCACCCUGGCCAAUUGUUCAAAGAAAGACAGUCUGAGGACACGGGUUUCUGGUAUUUGUGCCUGGUGUAGAGGACUGUGGCUCAGGAGAAAUCACGGUGACCAUGGAUGGUGUUUCCAAACACGCGCUGCCCGCCCAUUCCUGAUUUCAUUCUAAUUGGAGCUGGCCUGCUGGAGGAGAGGAGGGAGCCUAGCUGCAUGUGAAACCAGCUUCAGCUUAACUGGUUGCCUCCUGAAAAUUAGAGGAACCAACCAUGUAAUGUUCCAUUGCCAAACUUAUCACAUCAAAGACAAAUUGCAAUACGCUGCCCAGCUCUAACCCAAGAUUUCAAAAGAAAAAAAUAACCAAACCCAAACCCAAACCCAAAACAAUCCAACGGAAGGGGUGGUGGCUUUGAGCAGCAGACUACAGCCUUGGUUGCUACAGUCUUGGGUCAACCCCUUUCCAACCCAACUACUAUCAAGCUUAUCAGCCAAUUCAACAUUGUUCCCUUAAUAUGGAAGUCAGGAGUCUCAUUUUACAGUUUCUGUCAGGUUGAGAUUUUUGCAGGAAAAGGAUACGUGGGUUCAGGCUCCAAUGGCUCUGCUGCAAAUAACCUUUAGCUUUUCCAGAGCUUCAGGGAAAUCUCAAGGGAUGACCACACAAGUGCAACCUGAAGGACUAAUCUCUACUGCGCAGGACGGAGGGAAACCUGAAACAUGACUGACACGCAUCCUGGUUUUAAAUGAGCUUUUCAGGAACGUAAGUCAGGGAGUUAGGGAUGAGCUGUUUAGAAAGAGACUCCCAGCUCCAAUGGGGCUCCUCCCUUUGUCCCUCUCCUGGGCCUGGAUCCUGGUGCAAGCUGUUUGACUUUCCUGGAAGAAUGUGGAUGCGUCCGGCAGCAUAUUGCCUGCUCUCUCAGUUGCAGUGACUGUCCUCUGCCCUCUGCCUGAAGGAGAAGCUCGUUACCUGGUGGAGAGGAUCACAGCUCAGUGGUUCAGGGGGUGGGCAUUGCAGCUAAGCUAUAUGUCCUUGUUAAGCCACAGAAUUUUCUGUUAUAAGCCACUUAGAGGGAUAACCUCAGGCAAGCUAUUUCCCUUCCUUGUGUAUCACUUUUUAUAUUUGUAAUGGGUUUAGUAAAACUACCUCCUUCA